UAGUCGUGCGCUUCCUAGCCACGAAGGGAGCGCGGCGCACAGCUCAGUAGCACGUGGCUAACCUGCCCUUGGGACGGGAACAACCCCGGGAAACUGGGGCUAAUUCCUGAUAGGUGAAGAACUCUGGAAUGAGUCUUUGCCGAAAGGGCGUUUACAUCAUGCUCGUAGGCGCUGCCCAAGGAUGGGGCCGCGGCCGAUCAGGUUGUUGGUGAGGUAACGGCUCACCAAGCCUAUAACCGGUGCGGGCCGUGAGAGCGGUAGCCCGGAGAUGGGUACUGAGACAAGGACCCAGGCCCUACGGGGCGCAGCAGUUACGAAAACUCCGCAAUACACGAAAGUGUGACGGGGCCAUCCCGAGUGCCGUCCGCUGAGGACGGCUUUUCCCCAGUGUAGACAGCUGGGGGAAUAAGGAGAGGGCAAGUCUGGUGUCAGCCGCCGCGGUAAUACCAGCUCUCCGAGUGGUGGGGACGCUUAUUGGGCCUAAAGCAUCCGUAGCCGGCUGGUCAAGUCCCCUGUUAAAUCCAACGAUUCAAUCGUUGGACUGCGGGGGAUACUGUCCAGCUAGGGGGCGGGAGAGGCCGACGGUAUUCCCGGGGUAGGGGUGAAAUCUUAUAAUCCCGGGAGGACCACCAGUGGCGAAGGCUGUUGGCUAGAACGCGCCCGACGGUGAGGGAUGAAA
rnacentral:rRNA from 1 species